rnacentral:rRNA from 1 species
UACGAAGGGGGCUAGCGUUGCUCGGAAUCACUGGGCGUAAAGGGUGCGUAGGCGGGUCUUUAAGUCAGGGGUGAAAUCCUGGAGCUCAACUCCAGAACUGCCUUUGAUACUGAAGAUCUUGAGUUCGGGAGAGGUGAGUGGAACUGCGAGUGUAGAGGUGAAAUUCGUAGAUAUUCGCAAGAACACCAGUGGCGAAGGCGGCUCACUGGGGGUUUUCUGACGCUGAGGAACGAAAGCCAGGGGAGCGAACGGG